UGUUCCACAACAGGGAAGCCACGUUCGAGGGUUUUUACAAACCCAUUGCACCCACCACCAUAGUGGUGCUGGAUGAGCAUGGCCAGUAUCAACUUGGUGAACAAGUGUGCCUUCUGCCAAUCCCACCCCCAAAACAAAUUUGCUCCUGCGGUCCAAGCACAAACGUGACCAUCACCCCAGGAAAGCAGACUGUUGUGGUGACCAUCAAUGGAACAUACAACCUGUGCCUGCCUGCUGCUUCCUGUCGCGUUUGUUCAGGCAAAUGGACCCCAGGCACAAAUGACUUGCUGAGAUACAGAUACUGGCCAGCAACCUCCAGCUGCCAAAUGAUGU